GUCCCAAAUUUCUUGUCUUAGAUUUGUCUAGAUACGGAUGUAUCUAAUACUAAAAUGUGACUUGAUACAUCUGUAUCUAGAAAAAUCUAAGACAAGAAUUUUGGGAC
rnacentral:pre_miRNA from 1 species